AAAUAUGCUCCAGCUAUAAGUAAUCUUCUUCUAGAAUUUUAACAUGAAUAAGUAAAAUUCUUCCGAUAUGAGUAUUGGCAAGCUAAAGAACAGGCAGGGAAUCUUAACUAGAUUUCCACAGACUAUUCUGAAAAACAGUUAAAACUUUCCAUGGGUGUAUGUAUUUGCCCAGGAAAGUAUCCAAAACUUUCAAAUAUAACAUAUUUUCAGAGGUAUCUGGGACAAACAAAUAAAAAUACAAACAAUGUAGAAAAGAACAUGAACCAAGCCAAGAAAUUUUGACUCAGUAAACAGAUCAAAAAGCAAUAUAUCUUAGUGGUCAACCCUGAAGGUUCUGCACAGACUCAAACACCAACAAACAGAUUUUGAAAAAAAAGAAACUGACGUUUUCAAGGCGAUAGUGCCAGCUGUUUCAAACCAGGCCCCUUAUUCUUACUAGAGACUUCCAUGAAAACCACAGCACCUUGAAACAUUCCUUUUCUGUAUAAACUGAGUUCUGGCAACACACAACCAAAGUACUCUGACCUAAUACAUGUACUUCCCACCAGGUUUUUGCAAUUAUUAAGUGAGACAAUGGAAGAAAGAGCUUUCAAAAGCACAAAGCAUUCUACAAGUUUUAAGAUGAAGACUAAUCAUCAGAAAAACUAACUUCAUGAUUAGAAAGUUG
rnacentral:lncRNA from 1 species